rnacentral:tmRNA from 1 species
AUACUGGAAAUAUAAGGGCUGCUGCGCUAUUAUAAAGAUGUCAGCUCGUCUGACUAUGACGCUAAAGGCGUCGCGGAAUAAGCGUUAUGGACCCGGGGGCGGUACCCGGCGGCUCCACCAUUUGCUGUCUGAUACAGCAUUUGCGAUGGUUAGACAUCAAGUGAUGGGGCCGAAAUAGGAUCGACAUGCGUAGUAAAGGUGAUAGCUUGCGUUCGGUAUGGUACUUCCGUUAUUAAGGCCAUUAUUUAUAAAUGCAAACGAUAACAAUCGUUUCGUAGCGGUUAACGACAAUGCUGUCGUUAGCGAAGCGAUGGCUGCUUAAUUGAGCAACCGUAGCGUGCUACAACUAAAUUCCUGGUAAUUGAAACCUAUUGGGUGGGGCGUGGGUCGGCCUCGCAACAGAACUGGCCCAUU